GAUGGUCACGUGACCGCGGGGGGUCCAGGGCAAGGCUGGAAGGCUGUGAGGAGCGGAACGGAGCGGGGCGGGGCAGGGUGGG
rnacentral:miRNA from 1 species